UUUAGAUUAUAAUAGCUUUGAAACAAUGAUAAUGAAAGUUUUUUCAUCGUUCUAAAUUUAUACUACAGUUAUGGUCGUAAAAGAUUAAGAAAAAUCUUAUGGGUGCAAUUAUUCCACUGACACCUGCGAAAAAUACCAAAAGAACUGACCAUCGCUGUUUAUUGUAUUUUUUUAAAUGUUUUAGUUAAACAAUCUAACACUUAA